AACAGGAUUAGAUACCCUGGUAGUCCGCGCCGUAAACGAUGUCGACUUGGAGGUUGUGCCCUUGAGGCGUGGCUUCCGGAGCUAACGCGUUAAGUCGACCGCCUGGGGAGUACGGCCGCAAGGUUAAAACUCAAAUGAAUUGACGGGGGCCCGCACAAGCGGUGGAGCAUGUGGUUUAAUUCGAUGCAACGCGAAGAACCUUACCUACUCUUGACAUCCAGAGAACUUAGCAGAGAUGCUUUGGUGCCUUCGGGAACUCUGAGACAGGUGCUGCAUGGCUGUCGUCAGCUCGUGUUGUGAAAUGUUGGGUUAAGUCCCGCAACGAGCGCAACCCUUAUCCUUUGUUGCCAGCGGUCCGGCCGGGAACUCAAAGGAGACUGCCAGUGAUAAACUGGAGGAAGGUGGGGAUGACGUCAAGUCAUCAUGGCCCUUACGAGUAGGGCUACACACGUGCUACAAUGGCGCAUACAAAGAGAAGCGACCUCGCGAGAGCAAGCGGACCUCAUAAAGUGCGUCGUAGUCCGGAUUGGAGUCUGCAACUCGACUCCAUGAAGUCGGAAUCGCUAGUAAUCGUAGAUCAGAAUGCUACGGUGAAUACGUUCCCGGGCCUUGUACACACCGCCCGUCACACCAUGGGAGUGGGUUGCAAAAGAAGUAGGUAGCUUAACCUUCGGGAGGGCGCUUACCACUUUGUGAUUCAUGACUGGGGUGAAGUCGUAACAAGGUAACC
rnacentral:rRNA from 1 species